rnacentral:rRNA from 1 species
GAUGAACGCUGGCGGCGUGCCUAAUACAUGCAAGUAGAACGCUGAAGGAGGAGCUUGCUCUUAUGGAUGAGUUGCGAACGGGUGAGUAACGCGUAGGUAACCUGCCUGGUAGCGGGGGAUAACUAUUGGAAACGAUAGCUAAUACCGCAUGACACCAGUUAUUGCAUGAUAACUGUUUAAAAGGGGCAACUGCUCCACUACCAGAUGGACUUGCGUUGUAUUAGCUAGUUGGUGAGGUAACGGCUCACCAAGGCGACGAUACAUAGCCGACCUGGGAGGGGGAUCGGCCACACGGGGGCGGGGACGCGGCCCAGGCUCCUACGGGAGGCAGCAGUAGGGAAUCGUCGGCAAUGGACGGAAGUCUGACCGAGCAACGCCGCGUGAGUGAAGAAGGUUUUCGGAUCGUAAAGCUCUGUUGUAAGAGAAGAACGGGUGUGAGAGUGGAAAGUUCACACUGUGACGGUAUCUGACCAGAAAGGGACGGCUAACUACGUG